UGGCGGACGGGUGAGUAACGCGUGGGUAACCUGCCUCACACUGGGGGAUAACAGUUAGAAAUAGCUGCUAAUACCGCAUAAGCGCACGGUUCCGCAUGGAACAGUGUGAAAAACUCCGGUGGUGUGAGAUGGACCCGCGUCUGAUUAGCCAGUUGGCGGGGUAACGGCCCACCAAAGCGACGAUCAGUAGCCGGCCUGAGAGGGCGAACGGCCACAUUGGGACUGAGACACGGCCCAA
rnacentral:rRNA from 1 species